UCCGUACAACAAAAGUGUUGUGUACAGGGCAGAAAGGGAGCACGCGCCGGUUGUGCCCGCGAGAAAACUUCGAUUCCCAUGAUUCGCUGGGCGGGUGCAAGAAGGGCUCCGUCCCCUUCCUUCGCCCCUGCGCUACGAGGACACCUUCCCGGUGCCUCGUGCUUGUUCGGUGGCGACGAGGACUCUUACGACAAGUGACUUGGGUGGAACAGCUGGGGACCGCCAGCCUGGGAGAAGGCCCCGUGGAGGCGUCUAGUGUCAUCGCCUGUGCUGUGGGUGACUGAGGUGGUCCCUUCCACCUUGUAGGUACACACACUGAAGCACCUGGAGUAAAGGGAUAUCUUGUCUGAAACUGAUAUCUCAAGUGGAUCAGAAAACAAUUAUAAAUAUUAGAAGGGGAGAGAAAGAAAAAGAAGAGUAUGGUAAAAAGAUAACAUGAUGAGAAUCUGGGUGAAAGUUCUUCAAAUUGCAAGGUGAUAGAAAGAGCCCACAAUUUUCAUCCAGACUCGGAAAUCAUUCUUGAAAAUUUGGACAUUCAUAUAAAUGGCUUUUAAAUUUUCUUAGAGAGUGCAUUUUCUUAUAAAAUCAUGAAAUGUAUAAUAUAUAUACUAUAAA